rnacentral:rRNA from 1 species
UACGGAGGGGGCUAGCGUUGUUCGGAAUUACUGGGCGUAAAGGGCGCGUAGGCGGCCUUCUAAGUCGAACGUGAAAUCCCCGGGCUCAACCCGGGAACUGCGUCCGAUACUGGAAGGCUUGAAUCCGGGAGAGGGAUGCGGAAUUCCAGGUGUAGCGGUGAAAUGCGUAGAGAUCGGGAAGAAUACCAGUGGCGAAGGCGUUCUGCUGGGCCGUUGCUGACACUGAGGCGCGACAGCGUGGGGAGCGAACAGG